UGAGGAUGAUUCACGUUUCCUCCAUCAGGCCUGUUACUUUUAAACCAUCAUCUAUCAUUAGCCUGUUUUAGCUGACGUCCUUCCUGUGUUUCAAUAAGGAACCAGAGGACGGUGAUUGUUUGAGCUUAAAGCUGCAAAAAGGAAAUACGUAUAAGUCAGAUGCUGUCUGACGUUCAUCAGAAGCGCUGAAAAUCGGAGAUUAUGUACUUUUUUUCGUUUAACAUCUCUUCGUGCCACAAGAAAAGAGUGGAUGAGACGAGUAUUGUGGACCGGCAUGGUUACGUCACAGCCAAGACCGAGUAUCAGCCCAGAGCAAAGUUUGAUGUGUCGGUGAAAAAUGGACUGAAGAUUUUAAUGUUACAAUUGAAAUGAAAGUGCUGGUUUAAUGCAGCCAACA